AACAGGGAUUACCUCAGUAACGGCGAGUGAAGCGGUAACAGCUCAAAUUUGAAAUCUGGCCUCACGGUCCGAGUUGUAAUUUGUAGAGGAUGCUUCGAGCAUGGUCUGGCCUAAGUUCCUUGGAACAGGACGUCAUAGAGGGUGAGAAUCCCGUAUGCGGCCAGGUGCCUACGCUCAUGUGAAGCUCCUUCGACGAGUCGAGUUGUUUGGGAAUGCAGCUCAAAAUGGGUGGUAAAUUUCAUCUAAAGCUAAAUAUUGGCCAGAGACCGAUAGCGCACAAGUAGAGUGAUCGAAAGAUGAAAAGCACUUUGGAAAGAGAGUUAAACAGUACGUGAAAUUGUUGAAAGGGAAGCGCUUGCAACCAGACUUGCGCGCGGCCGAUCAUCCGGUGUUCUCACCGGUGCACUCGGCCGUGCUCAGGCCAGCAUCGGUUUUGGCGGCUGGAUAAAGGCCCUAGGAAUGUAGCUCCUCUCGGGGAGUGUUAUAGCCUAGGGUGCAAUGCAGCCUGCUGGGACCGAGGACCGCGCUUCGGCUAGGAUGCUGGCGUAAUGGUUG
rnacentral:rRNA from 1 species